rnacentral:rRNA from 1 species
UGGGAAUUUGACGAAUGGGCGCGAAGCCUGAUCCAGCCAUGCCGCGUGCGGGAAGAAGGCCUUCGGGUUGUAAACCGCUUUUGUCAGGGAAGAAAUCUUCUGAGUUAAUACCUCGGGAGGAUGACGGUACCUGAAGAAUAAGCACCGGCUAACUACGUGCCAGCAGCCGCGGUAAUACGUAGGGUGCAAGCGUUAAUCGGAAUUACUGGGCGUAAAGCGUGCGCAGGCGGUUUUGUAAGACAGAGGUGAAAUCCCCGGGCUCAACCUGGGAACUGCCUUUGUGACUGCAAGGCUUGAGUGCGGCAGAGGGGGAUGGAAUUCCGCGUGUAGCAGUGAAAUGCGUAGAUAUGCGGAGGAACACCGAUGGCGAAGGCAAUCCCCUGGGCCUGCACUGACGCUCAUGCACGAAAGCGUGGGGAGCAAACAGGAUUAGAUACCCUGGUAGUCCACGCCCUAAACGAUGUCAACUGGUUGUUGGGAAGGUUCCUUCUCAGUAACGUAGCUAACGCGUGAAGUUGACCGCCUGGGGAGUACGGCCGCAAGGUUGAAACUUAAAUGAAUUGAC